rnacentral:rRNA from 1 species
GACGAACGCUGGCGGCGUGCUUAACACAUGCAAGUCGAACGGAAAGGCCCUGCUUUUGUGGCGUGCUCGAGUGGCGAACGGGUGAGUAAAACGUGAGUAAACUGCCCUUGUCUUUGGGAUAAAUCCAGGAGACUGGGGCUCAUACCGGGUAGGAGCUACUGAUGCACGGUGGGGGUUGGAAAGUUUCGGCGGUGGGGGCUGGUAUGGCGGCUUACCAGCUGGUUGGUGAGGUAGGGGCUGACAAGGCGUUCGAAGGGUAGCCGGCCUUGGAGGGUGACCGGCCACAUGGGGACUGAGGGACGGCCCAGACUCCUACGGUAGGCAGCAGGGGGGAAUAUGACGCAAUAGGCGGAAGCCUGAUGCGACAACGCUGCGUGCGGGAUGACGGCCUUCGGGUGGUAAACCGCUGUCUCCUGUGACGAAGCGGGAUUGACGGUAAUGGGUAAAGAAGCACCGGCUAACUACGUG